AUUGAACGCUGGCGGCAGGCUUAACACAUGCAAGUCGAACGAGUAGCGGACGGGUGAGUAAUGCUUGGAAAUCUAGCUUAUGGCGGGGGCUAACUACGGGAAACUGUAGCUAAUACCGCGUACAACAGGAUGAGCCCACGUGGGAGUAGGUAGUUGGUGAGGUAAAGGCUCACCAAGACGACGAUCGCUAGCUGGUCUGAGAGGAUGACCAGCCACACUGGGACUGAGACACGGCCCAGACUCCUACGUGAGGCAGCAGUGGGGAAUAUUGCGCAAUGGGCGCAACCGUACGCAUCAAUGCCGCGUGAAUGAAGAAGGCCUUCGGGUUGUAAAGUUCUUUCGGUAGAGAGGCGUUAACUACAGAAGAAGCACCGGCUAACUCCGUGCCAGCAGCCGCGGUAAUAC
rnacentral:rRNA from 1 species